GUCCGUGUGAGGGCAGCCUUGGCCUACGGGGUGCGUCGGCUGGACCCAGGCGGACAGGACCUUGGGAGGGAGGGGAGGAGCCCUGUAGGUUCCGCGGAGAGCUACGAGUUUGCUUAGCUCCCAGGACGUCAGAGCUGGUGACGUCCGAUGCAAGGUUCCCCUCUUCCAGGAUGAGUGCCAGGUGACGUGUAUCAGAUGCCUGUUGGUGAGAUUUGAGGCGGACCCCAGACCUUAACACCCCUCUGGCUGAGUCCCCUCACAUGGUAGCAGGGCCUACGCCACAGCCACAGCAAUGCGGGAUCCGAGUCAUGUCUGCGACCUACACCACAGCUCACAGCAAGGCCAGAUCCUUAACCCACUGAGCGAGGACAGGGAUCAAACCCUCAACCUCAUGGUUCCUAGUCGGAUUCGUUAACCACUGAACCACGACGGGAACUCCGGGCCUACACCACAGCAACACCAGAUCAGAGCCACGUCUGUGACCAGCACCACAGUUCAGGGCAACACCAGAUCCUUAACCCACUGAACAAAGGCCAGGGAUUGAACCCGCAACCUCAUGGUUCCUAGUUGGAUUCGUUAACCACUGAGCCACGACGGGAACGCCUCUUUUUAAAUUAUAGUUUUGUCCAGAUAUAUGGAUUGCUGUAUCAUAUGGUAGUUUUAUAUUGCCUUUUCUGAGGAACCCGCAUACUGUUUUCCAUAGUGGUUGUAUCAGUUUACAUUCCUCCAGCCAUGCAGGAGGGUUCCACACCCUCUGCAGCAUUUGUUAUUUGUAGCUUAUGAAUGAUGGCCACUCUGACCAGUAAGAGGUGGUAUCUCACUGUAGUUUUGAUUUGCAUUUCUCUAAUAAUUAGUGAUGUUGAACAUCUUUUAUGUGCCUACUGGCCAGCUGUAUGUCUUCCUUGGAGAAAUGACUAUUUAGGUCUUCUGCACAUUUUUCGAUUAGGUUGUUCGUUCUUUUGUCGUUGAGUUGUAUGAGUUUUGUUUUUUUUUUUUGUAUUUUGGAGGUGAAGCCCUUAUUGGUUGCAUCAUUUGCAACUAUUUUCUUCCAUUCCGUAGGUUGUCUUUUCAUUUUGUUUAUGGUUUCCUUUGAUGUGAAAAAGCUUGUAAGUUUGAUUAGUUUCCAUUUGUUUAUUUUUUUCUAUUGCCUUGGGAGACUGACCUAAUAAGACAUUUGUAUGGUUUGUCUUCUCUGCCCCGUUUUUACAUGAGUGAUAGCAUAUCCCAUACAUUCUUCUGCUCCUCACUUUUUUUCACUUAAUGUACAUCUUGGAAAUAACAACAGUAAUGUAAUAACAGUAAUAUAACAUGAGGGAAACCCACAUGUCUCAUAAUGAGCCUCCACUACGUGUCAGGUGCUGUUCUAAGCACUUCAGAUGUUAUAAUUCACACCGUGCUGGUCAGAAUCCUGUGUGGUAGGUACUUGGUAUGAAUCCCCAUUGUUAAGAGGUUAAGUAAUUUUCCGAGAUUUCACAGCUGAUACUUGGCAGAGGCAAGAUUCAAUCCCGGGCCAUCUGACUUUAGAUUAGUUGUCCUUUGUCCCUGCCCCAUUGCUGCUCACGCUUGUGUCAUGUCACUGUGGACGCUUGCUCUUCCCGAGGGCCAAGGUGGGAGAGAUGCUGGUUAUUGAACUCUUGCCAUGGCCAGGCUCAGGCUGGGAUGCAGCAAAGAAUAAGAAAGACUAGGUCUCUGCUCUCUUAGAACUGGCAUCCCAGGGCCUACAAGUGUCUGUCAGCCAAAGCAGGAGGAGGGAAACCCACGUGUCGCCUACACUCACACGCCCGUGUCCAGUGUGCUGCUCACACGCACCCUGUUCCUUUUAUCCACUGGUCCUUUACUCACUCAGCCUCUGAGCUGGAAGGCCUUGGGGCCCAGUGCUCUAGGUAGGAACGUGGAGGUCUAGACGGAGGAGACACUUGUGAGGGAUCACAGCGUGGCCCUCGUGAACCUCAUCCCCUGCCCCCCCGGGAUCCAUUUCAGCAGGGCUGGUGGAGGCGUCUCUAAUCCAGGGCCCAACCAUUGUUUGAAGUUGGGAACAAUUGAAGGGCAAGGGAGCUAUAGAUAGAUCCACAGCUGCUAUCACCUGUUCCAGCCUGGGCACUGGCCCAAGCAUUGUCUGCAUGGGGGUACUCUACCAAGGCCCACUGCGGGUGGGAGGCUGGUUCAGCCUCGCCCAGCUCUAGAGAGACUGAAUCAGAGGCCCAGACAGAGAAAUACAGAAUCUCAGAGGGUGGAAACCGACAGGGUAACUCAGAAAGACCCAGACCCUUGAGAGAUACUAGAGGCUCCCACCAAAUGCCAGGAACACUGAGGCUGGGUGGGGCUGGGAGAGCUGCACUUGUAUAUUUCUCUCUGGGGCAACCACUUCCCGGACUCUUCCUGAGGCAGUCAGAGGUACUUUGGGGAGUGCUCUUGGAGACCCCUGGGGGCUUUGAAAUGGAGAGGUUGUGGAGUUCCUGUUGUGGCUCAGUGAUAAUGAACCCAACUAGUAUCCAUGAGGACACAGGUUUGAUCCCUUGCCCGGGUCAUGGGUUAGGAUCCAGCAUU
rnacentral:lncRNA from 1 species